rnacentral:rRNA from 1 species
UACGUAGGGGGGCUAGCGUUUGUCCGGAAUCAUUGGGCGUAAAGCGCGUGUAGGCGGUCCGGUAAGUCCGCUGUGAAAGUCGGGGGCUCAACCUCGGAUGCCGGUGGAUACUGUCGGGCUUGAGUACGGAAGAGGCGAGUGGAAUUCCUGGUGUAGCGGUGAAAUGCGCAGAUAUCAGGAGGAACACCAAUUGCGAAGGCAGCUCGCUGG